rnacentral:rRNA from 1 species
UAUGUGAUCGUCUCUCGCAUAUCAAUAAGCGGAGGAAAAGAAACUAACAAGGAUUCCCCUAGUAACGGCGAGUGAAGCGGGAAGAGCUCAAAUUUGAAAUCUUAAAGGGUUUCCCUUUACGAAUUGUAGUUUAAAGAAGUGUUUUCUGUUGAGGUUUUGGUAAAAGUUCUUUGGAAUAGGACAUCAUAGAGGGUGAGAAUCCCGUAUUUGACCUUUACUUUCAACUUUGUGAUACACUUUCAAAGAGUCGGAUUGUUUGGGAAUGCAGUCCAAAAUGGGUGGUAAAUUUCAUCUAAAGCUAAAUAUUGGCGAGAGACCGAUAGCGAACAAGUACCGUGAGGGAAAGAUGAAAAGAACAUUGAAAAGAGAGUUAAACAGUACGUGAAAUUGUCAAAAGGGAAGCGUUUGACACCAGUGUUGUUUUUCUGAAAAUCAAUUAAAGAACUGUUUAUGCUAAGCUGUUUAGACUUUAUCAGCUAUCUGUUUAGUUUUAGGCUUUUCUUUGAUGCACUUUUCAGUUAACAAGUCAACAUCAAUUUCUUUUGCUGUAAAAAAGCUUGAGGAAGGUGGCUUGAGAUUCGUCUUAAGUGUUUAUAGCCUCUUGCCUAUGCAGUCGGAGAGAUUGAGGUCUGCAGCGUAGAUCCUUCGGGGCUAAAUGCAUUUGUGCUAAGUUAUAGCAUUUUAUAGACAACUUGUUGACUAUGAUUUGUCUUGUAGCUUACUCGCUUAUGUUAUUUUACCUACGCUUAGGAUGUUGAACGCGCACAGAGUCUC